rnacentral:rRNA from 1 species
GGGUCAUUAGGUUGGUCGUGCCACCGGUACGUACUGGUCUCACUGAUUCCUCCUUCCUGAAGAACCGUAAUGCCAUUAAUUUGGUGUUGCGGGGAAACAGGACUGUUACUUUGAAAAAAUUAGAGUGUUUAAAGCAAGCUAACGCUUGAAUACAUUAGCAUGGAAUAAUGAAAUAGGACAAUCGAUCCUAUUUUGUUGGUUUCUAGGAUUGACGUA